ACUGGACCAGCUGCUUGCUGUCCUGCGUAUUUGGGAGACUCCCUUUAUGGAACUGUACACAGACCAAAGUGGGUCUCUCCCAGGCAUCACCUGCAUCCCUGUGUUUCCCAAGGUCUUCAGACAGACCUUGCCAACUCCCGGGCAACUUUAGAAAGCGCUGUCCUUCUCAGGUUGCCUCAAAGAAGCAUGAAAUCCCUGGGAACUUCUUGUGCCUUUUGAACAAAUCAGCUCGAUGAAGGGAGAUGACUCAGUCUCCUUUGCCCCCGAAAGCAAGAGCCAACUCUGGCUACCAGCAGUCUUGGCUUCACAAAAGAACAAUUUACCCUGGUUCCCUCCCAGACUCCAGUCAGUCUCCCUGCAGCUUCAAGUGGCAUCAAAGAGGGUCACAUGGACAAGACUGGGAAGUAUGCAUCACACACCAUCCCCCAAUCUGAGAUGGAACUGCAAGUGUGAGGAGGCUGGUGGCUCUGCUCAGGGUAUGCCUGCACCUGCAUCACCGACACAGAAGAGUGAAUGCUGCACCUGGGGGCAAAAGCUGGAAGCAAAAUCCCACUGA
ensembl:lincRNA